rnacentral:rRNA from 1 species
GUGGGGAAUCUUGCGCAAUGGGGGCAACCCUGACGCAGCGACGCCGCGUGAGUGAUGAAGGCCUUCGGGUCGUAAAGCUCUGUGGGGAGGGACGAAUAAGUGUUGGCUAACAUCCAGCAUGAUGACGGUACCUCCUUAGCAAGCACCGGCUAACUCUGUGCCAGCAGCCGCGGUAAGACAGAGGGUGCAAACGUUGUUCGGAAUUACUGGGCGUAAAGCGCGUGUAGGCGGCGUAGCAAGUCGGGCGUGAAAGCCCACGGCUCAACCGUGGAAGAGCACUCGAAACUGCUGCGCUAGAGUUCUGGAGAGGAAGGCGGAAUGCUUGGUGUAGAGGUGAAAUUCGUAGAUAUCAAGCGGAACACCGGUGGCGAAGGCGGCCUUCUGGACAGUGACUGACGCUGAAACGCGAAAGCGUGGGGAGCAAACAGGAUUAGAUACCCUGGUAGUCC